CCCUUAGUAACUGCGAGUGAAGAGGGAAAAGCUCAAAUUUAAAAUCUGGCAGCGCUUCGCUGUCCGAGUUGUAACCUAGAGAAGUGUAACCUGUGCUGGACCGUGUACAAGUCUCCUGGAAUGGAGCAUCAUAGAGGGUGAGAAUCCCGUCUUUGACAUGGACUACCAGUGCAUUGUGGUUGCGCUCUCAACGAGUCGAGUUGUUUGGGAAUGCAGCUCUAAAUGGGUGGUAAAUUCCAUCUAAAGCUAAAUAUUGGCGAGAGACCGAUAGCGAACAAGUACCGUGAGGGAAAGAUGAAAAGAACUUUGGAAAGAGAGUUAAACAGUAUGUGAAAUUGUUGAAAGGGAAACGUUUGAAGUCAGUCGCGUUGGUUGGGGAUCAGCCUGACAUUGUUGGGUGUACUUCCUGGUCGACGGGCCAACAUCAGUUUUGACUGCCAGAAAAAGGCCAGAGGAAUGUGGCACCCUUGGGUGUGUUAUAGCCUUUGGUCGUAUAUGGUGGUUGGGACUGAGGAAAGCAGCGCGCCGAAAGGCCGGGUUUCGACCACGUUCACGCUGAGGAUGUUGGCAUAAUGGCUUUAAGCGACCCGUCUUGAAACACGGACCAAGGAGUCUAACAUGCAUGCGAGUGUUUGGGUGGAAAACCCUUACGCGUAAUGAAAGUGAAAGUUGAGAUCCCUGUCGCGGGGAGCAUCGACGCCCGGACCAGAACUUUUGGGACGGAUCUGCGGUAGAGCACGUAUGUUGGGACCCGAAAGA
rnacentral:rRNA from 1 species